rnacentral:rRNA from 1 species
AUUGAACGCUGGCGGCAGGCCUAACACAUGCAAGUCGAACGGUAACAGGAAGCAGCUUGCUGCUUUGCUGACGAGUGGCGGACGGGUGAGUCAUGUCUGGGAAACUGCCCGAUGGAGGGGGAUAACUACUGGAAACGGUAGCUAAUACCGCAUAACGUCGCAAGACCAAAGAGGGGGACCUUAGGGCCUCUUGCCAUCGGAUGUGCCCAGAUGGGAUUAGCUAGUAGGUGGGGUAACGGCUCACCUAGGCGACGAUCCCUAGCUGGUCUGAGAGGAUGACCAGCCACACUGGAACUGAGACACGGUCCAGACUCCUACGGGAGGCAGCAGUGGGGAAUAUUGCACAAUGGGCGCAAGCCGGAUGCAGCCAUGCCGCGUGUAUGAAGAAGGCCUUCGGGUUGUAAAGUACUUUCAGCGGGGAGGAAGGGAGUAAAGUUAAUACCUUUGCUCAUUGACGGUACCCGCAGAAGAAGCACCGGCUAACUCCGUG